rnacentral:rRNA from 1 species
GGCUCAGGAUGAACGCUGGCGGCGUGCCUAAUACAUGCAAGUCGAGCGAACAGACGAGGAGCUUGCUCCUUUGACGUUAGCGGCGGACGGGUGAGUAACACGUAGGUAACCUACCUAUAAGACUGGGAUAACUUCGGGAAACCGGAGCUAAUACCGGAUAAUAUUUCGAUCCGCAUGGUUCGAUAGUGAAAGAUGGCUUUGCUAUCACUUAUAGAUGGACCUGCGCCGUAUUAGCUAGUUGGUAAGGUAACGGCUUACCAAGGCGACGAUACGUAGCCGACCUGAGAGGGUGAUCGGCCACACUGGAACUGAGACACGGUCCAGACUCCUACGGGAGGCAGCAGUAGGGAAUCUUCCGCAAUGGGCGAAAGCCUGACGGAGCAACGCCGCGUGAGUGAUGAAGGUCUUCGGAUCGUAAAACUCUGUUAUUAGGGAAGAACAAACGUGUAAGUAACUGUGCACGUCUUGACGGUACCUAAUCAGAAAGCCACGGCUAACUACGUGCCAGCAGCCGCGGUAAUACGUAGGUGGCAAGCGUUAUCCGGAAUUAUUGGGCGUAAAGCGCGCGUAGGCGGUUUUUUAAGUCUGAUGUGAAAGCCCACGGCUCAACCGUGGAGGGUCAUUGGAAACUGGAAAACUUGAGUGCAGAAGAGGAAAGUGGAAUUCCAUGUGUAGCGGUGAAAUGCGCAGAGAUAUGGAGGAACACCAGUGG